GACGAACGCUGGCGGCGUGCUUAACACAUGCAAGUCGAACGGUAAGGCCCUUCGGGGUACACGAGUGGCGAACGGGUGAGUAACACGUGGGUGAUCUGCCCUGCACUUCGGGAUAAGCCUGGGAAACUGGGUCUAAUACCGGAUAGGACCACUGCCUGCAUGGGUGGUGGUGGAAAGCUUUUGCGGUGUGGGAUGGGCCCGCGGCCUAUCAGCUUGUUGGUGGGGUGAUGGCCUACCAAGGCGACGACGGGGAGCCGCCCUGAGAGGGUGACCGGCCAGACUGGGACUCGGAUACGCCCCAGACUCCUACGGGAGGCAGCAGUGGGGAGUAUUGCACAAUGGGCGCAAGCCUGAUGCAGCGACGCCGCGUGAGGGAUGACGGCCUUCGGGUUGUCAACCUCUUUCAGCACCGACGAAGCGCAAGUGACGGUAGGUGCAGAAGAAGGACCGGCCAACUACGUGCCAGCCGCCGCCGUAACAC
rnacentral:rRNA from 1 species